rnacentral:rRNA from 1 species
UAGGGAAUCUUCCGCAAUGGGCGAAAGCUUGACGGAGCAACGCCGCGUGAGUGAUGAAGGUCUUCGGAUCGUAAAACUCUGUUAUUAGGGAAGAACAAAUGUGUAAGUAACUAUGCACGUCUUGACGGUACCUAAUCAGAAAGCCACGGCUAACUACGUGCCAGCAGCCGCGGUAAUACGUAGGUGGCAAGCGUUAUCCGGAAUUAUUGGGCGUAAAGCGCGCGUAGGCGGUUUUGUAAGUCUGAUGUGAAAGCCCACGGCUCAACCGUGGAGGGUCAUUGGAAACUGGAAAACUUGAGUGCAGAAGAGGAAAGUGGAAUUCCAUGUGUAGCGGUGAAAUGCGCAGAGAUAUGGAGGAACACCAGUGGCGAAGGCGACUUUCUGGUCUGUAACUGACGCUGAUGUGCGAAAGCGUGGGGAUCAAACAGG